UUUAAACUUACCUUUAUUUUUUCCUCCUUUAGGUCUGUGACAUCCAGACUUCCAGUACUUGUUUGGUACUAUGGACUAGCAUGCACUCAGCUGGUUACAUCCCAACCACCACUAACCCUCACUAGGGACCAGUGCAGGUCUACAGAAGAAGAAACAACACCAGAUCCAGAAGUUUGGUCCAACACUCAGGUCAAAAUAGAUACAGCAGCAUCUUGAGACUACCAAAGCCUGAUUCAGUUUCAAUCUUUCAGUAUUCACAUAGGAGCAAAUCCUGCCUUCUUACCCCAGUCAGCCAUAGAGGUUCCUGCCUGCAGCAAAAGUGCUGCAGUUCCACUACAAUGUGGGGAGGGGGACAUGAUGCUGGGAAUUCAGCAAUCUCUGUGCACUCUUUUGUGUAACAAAGUCCAGGUCCAUGGGAGUUCUUUCUGCACUGAUGGAGAUGGUCUGGGAGAGGAACAAACCCAAGGCUGAUGCAUCAGUGAUUGUUGGUGAAACUUAGUCCUGUGCUGGAGGCCACCAAAGUCUAUACAUCACUUCAGUCUCAUGUAAGGAUUGUGAUGGUUUAAAUGAACCUUAAGCGAUGCACAGAUUUUGUGCUGGCCUUUUACAUAGGGAUGAAUUUCACCUUAUGAGAAUAUACCAGGCUUUCUUUCCUUUGGAUUGUUGGGGUACAACAAAUUGCAGGUCCUCUGCAAUUUAAUUAUCUCUGCCGAGUUUUCUCUCCAUUCACUUCUGACUCCUAGAG